ensembl:lncRNA
UUCAAAUUCAAAUUUUAUUUGUCACGUACACAGUCAUACACAGUACGAUAUGUAGUGAAAUGCUUGGACAACUGCUCGUGACCUAAAGAAAACAAAAAAGGAAAGGCUAUGAAUAAGAUAGGAAAUAAAUAUGAAAAAUUAAAAAGGGUAAAUUUAACUAGGAAGGAAUAGAAUAUAAAUUAAGGUUAAAAAUGAAAUAACUGUACAACACAAAUUAGAAUGAAGGGUAAAUUUAACUGGGAAGAAUAAGAUAAAGAUAAAUAUAUAAAUUAAAGAAUAAAAUAUAAAUUAAGGUUAAAAAUGAAAUAACUGUACAACACAAAUUAGAAUGAAGGGUAAAUUUAACUGGGAAGAAUAAGAUAAAGAUAAAUAUAUAAAUUAAAGUUGAAAAUAAAAUAACUGUACAACAAAAUACACAAUACACAAUAUAGAACUAUAUAAGAAUGUAUGAAGAAAUCUAAAUAUAAAUAAAUAUAUACACAAUAACAG